UAAAGGCUCAGAGUGCUGGUGUCACUCGGCGAGUCGGGCAGCAUCUCUGGAGAACACGGACUGGUGACGUUUCCAGUUGGGAUCCUUCUACAGAUUUCAGGGAAUUUGAAGACUUCUGUUUGAAAUUUUUUCCAGUUCUCUCUCUUGCCCUCGAAGCUCAGCUGUUCAAAUCCAAAGAUGAAUUGCCUUGUGGUCCUGGUAGCUGGUCUCAUUCUCACUGCCUCUCCGGGUAACUCUUUGCGGUGUUACUCCUGCUCAGUAUCAGCGG